GACGAACGCUGGCGGCGUGCUUAACACAUGCAAGUCGAACGGAAAGGCCCUGCUUUUGUGGGGUGCUCGAGUGGCGAACGGGUAAGUAACACGUGAGUAACCUGCCCUUGACUUUGGGAUAACUUCAGGAAACUGGGGCUAAUACCGGAUAGGAGCUCCUGCUGCAUGGUGGAGGUUGGAAAGUUUCGGCGGUUGGGGAUGGACUCGCGGCUUAUCAGCUUGUUGGUGGGGUAGUGGCUUACCAAGGCUUUGACGGGUAGCCGGCCUGAGAGGGUGACCGGCCACAUUGGGACUGAGAUACGGCCCAGACUCCUACGGGAGGCAGCAGUGGGGAAUAUUGCACAAUGGGCGGAAGCCUGAUGCAGCAACGCCGCGUGCGGGAUGACGGCCUUCGGGUUGUAAACCGCUUUCGCCUGUGACGAAGCGUGAGUGACGGUAAUGGGUAAAGGAGCACCGGCUAACUACGUG
rnacentral:rRNA from 1 species